rnacentral:rRNA from 1 species
CCUACGGGAGGCAGCAGUGAGGAAUAUUGGUCAAUGGACGUGAGUCUGAACCAGCCAAGUAGCGUGAAGGAUGACUGCCCUAUGGGUUGUAAACUUCUUUUAUAUGGGAAUAAAACGUUCCACGUGUGGGAUUUUGUAUGUACCAUCUGAAUAAGGAUCGGCUAACUCCGUGCCAGCAGCCGCGGUAAUACGGAGGAUCCGAGCGUUAUCCGGAUUUAUUGGGUUUAAAGGGCGCGUAGGUGGAUUGUUAAGUCAGUUGUGAAAUGUUGCGGCUCAACCGUAACAUUGCAGUUGAAACUGGCAGUCUUGAGUACAGUAGAGGUGGGCGGAAUUCGUGGUGUAGCGGUGAAAUGCUUAGAUAUCACGAAGAACUCCGAUUGCGAAGGCAGUUCACUGGACUGCAACUGACACUGAGGCUCGAAAGUGUGGGUAUCAAACAGGAUUAGAUACCCCAGUAGUC